CCGGUGAUGCGAGUUGUUCUCCGUCUAUAAAUACGCCUCGCCCGAGCUGUGCGGUAGGCAUUGAGGCAGCCAGCGCAGGGGCUUCUGCUGAGGGGGCAGGCGGAGCUUGAGGAAACCGCAGAUAAGUUUUUUUCUCUUUGAAAGAUAGAGAUUAAUACAACUACUUAAAAAAUAUAGUCAAUAGGUUACUAAGAUAUUGCUUAGCGUUAAGUUUUUAACGUAAUUUUAAUAGCUUAAGAUUUUAAGAGAAAAUAUGAAGACUUAGAAGAGUAGCAUGAGGAAGGAAAAGAUAAAAGGUUUCUAAAACAUGACGGAGGUUGAGAUGAAGCUUCUUCAUGGAGUAAAAAAUGUAUUUAAAAGAAAAUUGAGAGAAAGGACUACAGAGCCCCGAAUUAAUACCAAUAGAAGGGCAAUGCUUUUAGAUUAAAAUGAAGGUGACUUAAACAGCUUAAAGUUUAGUUUAAAAGUUGUAGGUGAUUAAAAUAAUUUGAAGGCGAUCUUUUAAAAAGAGAUUAAACCGAAGGUGAUUAAAAGACCUUGAAAUCCAUGACGCAGGGAGAAUUGCGUCAUUUAAAGCCUAGUUAACGCAUUUACUAAACGCAGACGAAAAUGGAAAGAUUAAUUGGGAGUGGUAGGAUGAAACAAUUUGGAGAAGAUAGAAGUUUGAAGUGGAAAACUGGAAGACAGAAGUACGGGAAGGCGAAGAAAAGAAUAGAGAAGAUAGGGAAAUUAGAAGAUAAAAACAUACUUUUAGAAGAAAAAAGAUAAAUUUAAACCUGAAAAGUAGGAAGCAGAAGAAAAAAGACAAGCUAGGAAACAAAAAGCUAAGGGCAAAAUGUACAAACUUAGAAGAAAAUUGGAAGAUAGAAACAAGAUAGAAAAUGAAAAUAUUGUCAAGAGUUUCAGAUAGAAAAUGAAAAACAAGCUAAGACAAGUAUUGGAGAAGUAUAGAAGAUAGAAAAAUAUAAAGCCAAAAAUUGGAUAAAAUAGCACUGAAAAAAUGAGGAAAUUAUUGGUAACCAAUUUAUUUUAAAAGCCCAUCAAUUUAAUUUCUGGUGGUGCAGAAGUUAGAAGGUAAAGCUUGAGAAGAUGAGGGUGUUUACGUAGACCAGAACCAAUUUAGAAGAAUACUUGAAGCUAGAAGGGGAAGUUGGUUAAAAAUCACAUCAAAAAGCUACUAAAAGGACUGGUGUAAUUUAAAAAAAACUAAGGCAGAAGGCUUUUGGAAGAGUUAGAAGAAUUUGGAAGGCCUUAAAUAUAGUAGCUUAGUUUGAAAAAUGUGAAGGACUUUCGUAACGGAAGUAAUUCAAGAUCAAGAGUAAUUACCAACUUAAUGUUUUUGCAUUGGACUUUGAGUUAAGAUUAUUUUUUAAAUCCUGAGGACUAGCAUUAAUUGACAGCUGACCCAGGUGCUACACAGAAGUGGAUUCAGUGAAUCUAGGAAGACAGCAGCAGACAGGAUUCCAGGAACCAGUGUUUGAUGAAGCUAGGACUGAGGAGCAAGCGAGCAAGCAGCAGUUCGUGGUGAAGAUAGGAAAAGAGUCCAGGAGCCAGUGCGAUUUGGUGAAGGAAGCUAGGAAGAAGGAAGGAGCGCUAACGAUUUGGUGGUGAAGCUAGGAAAAAGGAUUCCAGGAAGGAGCGAGUGCAAUUUGGUGAUGAAGGUAGCAGGCGGCUUGGCUUGGCAACCACACGGAGGAGGCGAGCAGGCGUUGUGCGUAGAGGAUCCUAGACCAGCAUGCCAGUGUGCCAAGGCCACAGGGAAAGCGAGUGGUUGGUAAAAAUCCGUGAGGUCGGCAAUAUGUUGUUUUUCUGGAACUUACUUAUGGUAACCUUUUAUUUAUUUUCUAAUAUAAUGGGGGAGUUUCGUACUGAGGUGUAAAGGGAUUUAUAUGGGGACGUAGGCCGAUUUCCGGGUGUUGUAGGUUUCUCUUUUUCAGGCUUAUACUCAUGAAUCUUGUCUGAAGCUUUUGAGGGCAGACUGCCAAGUCCUGGAGAAAUAGUAGAUGGCAAGUUUGUGGGUUUUUUUUUUUUACACGAAUUUGAGGAAAACCAAAUGAAUUUGAUAGCCAAAUUGAGACAAUUUCAGCAAAUCUGUAAGCAGUUUGUAUGUUUAGUUGGGGUAAUGAAGUAUUUCAGUUUUGUGAAUAGAUGACCUGUUUUUACUUCCUCACCCUGAAUUCGUUUUGUAAAUGUAGAGUUUGGAUGUGUAACUGAGGCGGGGGGGAGUUUUCAGUAUUUUUUUUUGUGGGGGUGGGGGCAAAAUAUGUUUUCAGUUCUUUUUCCCUUAGGUCUGUCUAGAAUCCUAAAGGCAAAUGACUCAAGGUGUAACAGAAAACAAGAAAAUCCAAUAUCAGGAUAAUCAGACCACCACAGGUUUACAGUUUAUAGAAACUAGAGCAGUUCUCACGUUGAGGUCUGUGGAAGAGAUGUCCAUUGGAGAAAUGGCUGGUAGUUACUCUUUUUUCCCCCCACCCCCUUAAUCAGACUUUAAAAGUGCUUAACCCCUUAAACUUGUUAUUUUUUACUUGAAGCAUUUUGGGAUGGUCUUAACAGGGAAGAGAGAGGGUGGGGGAGAAAAUGUUUUUUUCUAAGAUUUUCCACAGAUGCUAUAGUACUAUUGACAAACUGGGUUAGAGAAGGAGUGUACCGCUGUGCUGUUGGCACGAACACCUUCAGGGACUGGAGCUGCUUUUAUCCUUGGAAGAGUAUUCCCAGUUGAAGCUGAAAAGUACAGCACAGUGCAGCUUUGGUUCAUAUUCAGUCAUCUCAGGAGAACUUCAGAAGAGCUUGAGUAGGCCAAAUGUUGAAGUUAAGUUUUCCAAUAAUGUGACUUCUUAAAAGUUUUAUUAAAGGGGAGGGGCAAAUAUUGGCAAUUAGUUGGCAGUGGCCUGUUACGGUUGGGAUUGGUGGGGUGGGUUUAGGUAAUUGUUUAGUUUAUGAUUGCAGAUAAACUCAUGCCAGAGAACUUAAAGUCUUAGAAUGGAAAAAGUAAAGAAAUAUCAACUUCCAAGUUGGCAAGUAACUCCCAAUGAUUUAGUUUUUUUCCCCCCAGUUUGAAUUGGGAAGCUGGGGGAAGUUAAAUAUGAGCCACUGGGUGUACCAGUGCAUUAAUUUGGGCAAGGAAAGUGUCAUAAUUUGAUACUGUAUCUGUUUUCCUUCAAAGUAUAGAGCUUUUGGGGAAGGAAAGUAUUGAACUGGGGGUUGGUCUGGCCUACUGGGCUGACAUUAACUACAAUUAUGGGAAAUGCAAAAGUUGUUUGGAUAUGGUAGUGUGUGGUUCUCUUUUGGAAUUUUUUUCAGGUGAUUUAAUAAUAAUUUAAAACUACUAUAGAAACUGCAGAGCAAAGGAAGUGGCUUAAUGAUCCUGAAGGGAUUUCUUCUGAUGGUAGCUUUUGUAUUAUCAAACUUUUUUCAGAUAACAUCUUCUGAGUCAUAACCAGCCUGGCAGUAUGAUGGCCUAGAUGCAGAGAAAACAGCUCCUUGGUGAAUUGAUAAGUAAAGGCAGAAAAGAUUAUAUGUCAUACCUCCAUUGGGGAAUAAGCAUAACCCUGAGAUUCUUACUACUGAUGAGAACAUUAUCUGCAUAUGCCAAAAAAUUUUAAGCAAAUGAAAGCUACCAAUUUAAAGUUACGGAAUCUACCAUUUUAAAGUUAAUUGCUUGUCAAGCUAUAACCACAAAAAUAAUGAAUUGAUGAGAAAUACAAUGAAGAGGCAAUGUCCAUCUCAAAAUACUGCUUUUACAAAAGCAGAAUAAAAGCGAAAAGAAAUGAAAAUGUUACACUACAUUAAUCCUGGAAUAAAAGAAGCCGAAAUAAAUGAGAGAUGAGUUGGGAUCAAGUGGAUUGAGGAGGCUGUGCUGUGUGCCAAUGUUUCGUUUGCCUCAGACAGGUAUCUCUUCGUUAUCAGAAGAGUUGCUUCAUUUCAUCUGGGAGCAGAAAACAGCAGGCAGCUGUUAACAGAUAAGUUUAACUUGCAUCUGCAGUAUUGCAUGUUAGGGAUAAGUGCUUAUUUUUAAGAGCUGUGGAGUUCUUAAAUAUCAACCAUGGCACUUUCUCCUGACCCCUUCCCUAGGGGAUUUCAGGAUUGAGAAAUUUUUCCAUCGAGCCUUUUUAAAAUUGUAGGACUUGUUCCUGUGGGCUUCAGUGAUGGGAUAGUACACUUCACUCAGAGGCAUUUGCAUCUUUAAAUAAUUUCUUAAAAGCCUCUAAAGUGAUCAGUGCCUUGAUGCCAACUAAGGAAAUUUGUUUAGCAUUGAAUCUCUGAAGGCUCUAUGAAAGGAAUAGCAUGAUGUGCUGUUAGAAUCAGAUGUUACUGCUAAAAUUUACAUGUUGUGAUGUAAAUUGUGUAGAAAACCAUUAAAUCAUUCAAAAUAAUAAACUAUUUUUAUUAGAGAAUGUAUACUUUUAGAAAGCUGUCUCCUUAUUUAAAUAAAAUAGUGUUUGUCUGUAGUUCAGUGUUGGGGCAAUCUUGGGGGGGAUUCUUCUCUAAUCUUUCAGAAACUUUGUCUGCGAACACUCUUUAAUGGACCAGAUCAGGAUUUGAGCGGAAGAACGAAUGUAACUUUAAGGCAGGAAAGACAAAUUUUAUUCUUCAUAAAGUGAUGAGCAUAUAAUAAUUCCAGGCACAUGGCAAUAGAGGCCCUCUAAAUAAGGAAUAAAUAACCUCUUAGACAGGUGGGAGAUUAUGAUCAGAGUAAAAGGUAAUUACACAUUUUAUUUCCAGAAAGUCAGGGGUCUAUAAAUUGACAGUGAUUAGAGUAAUACUUUUUCACAUUUCCAAAGUUUGCAUGUUAACUUUAAAUGCUUACAAUCUUAGAGUGGUAGGCAAUGUUUUACACUAUUGACCUUAUAUAGGGAAGGGAGGGGGUGCCUGUGGGGUUUUAAAGAAUUUUCCUUUGCAGAGGCAUUUCAUCCUUCAUGAAGCCAUUCAGGAUUUUGAAUUGCAUAUGAGUGCUUGGCUCUUCCUUCUGUUCUAGUGAGUACUUCACAGAGAAUGCAGUUGUCUUGACUUCAGGUCUGUCUGUUCUGUUGGCAAGUAAAUGCAGUACUGUUCUGAUCCCGCUGCUAUUAGAAUGCAUUGUGAAACGACUGGAGUAUGAUUAAAAGUUGUGUUCCCCAAUGCUUGGAGUAGUGAUUGUUGAAGGAAAAAAUCCAGCUGAGUGAUAAAGGCUGAGUGUUGAGGAAAUUUCUGCAGUUUUAAGCAGUCGUAUUUGUGAUUGAAGCUGAGUACAUUUUGCUGGUGUAUUUUUAGGUAAAAUGCUUUUUGUUCAUUUCUGGUGGUGGGAGGGGACUGAAGCCUUUAGUCUUUUCCAGAUGCAACCUUAAAAUCAGUGACAAGAAACAUUCCAAACAAGCAACAGUCUUCAAGAAAUUAAACUGGCAAGUGGAAAUGUUUAAACAGUUCAGUGAUCUUUAGUGCAUUGUUUAUGUGUGGGUUUCUCUCUCCCCUCCCUUGGUCUUAAUUCUUACAUGCAGGAACACUCAGCAGACACACGUAUGCGAAGGGCCAGAGAAGCCAGACCCAGUAAGAAAAAAUAGCCUAUUUACUUUAAAUAAACCAAACAUUCCAUUUUAAAUGUGGGGAUUGGGAACCACUAGUUCUUUCAGAUGGUAUUCUUCAGACUAUAGAAGGAGCUUCCAGUUGAAUUCACCAGUGGACAAAAUGAGGAAAACAGGUGAACAAGCUUUUUCUGUAUUUACAUACAAAGUCAGAUCAGUUAUGGGACAAUAGUAUUGAAUAGAUUUCAGCUUUAUGCUGGAGUAACUGGCAUGUGAGCAAACUGUGUUGGCGUGGGGGUGGAGGGGUGAGGUGGGCGCUAAGCCUUUUUUUAAGAUUUUUCAGGUACCCCUCACUAAAGGCACCGAAGGCUUAAAGUAGGACAACCAUGGAGCCUUCCUGUGGCAGGAGAGACAACAAAGCGCUAUUAUCCUAAGGUCAAGAGAAGUGUCAGCCUCACCUGAUUUUUAUUAGUAAUGAGGACUUGCCUCAACUCCCUCUUUCUGGAGUGAAGCAUCCGAAGGAAUGCUUGAAGUACCCCUGGGCUUCUCUUAACAUUUAAGCAAGCUGUUUUUAUAGCAGCUCUUAAUAAUAAAGCCCAAAUCUCAAGCGGUGCUUGAAGGGGAGGGAAAGGGGGAAAGCGGGCAACCACUUUUCCCUAGCUUUUCCAGAAGCCUGUUAAAAGCAAGGUCUCCCCACAAGCAACUUCUCUGCCACAUCGCCACCCCGUGCCUUUUGAUCUAGCACAGACCCUUCACCCCUCACCUCGAUGCAGCCAGUAGCUUGGAUCCUUGUGGGCAUGAUCCAUAAUCGGUUUCAAGGUAACGAUGGUGUCGAGGUCUUUGGUGGGUUGAACUAUGUUAGAAAAGGCCAUUAAUUUGCCUGCAAAUUGUUAACAGAAGGGUAUUAAAACCACAGCUAAGUAGCUCUAUUAUAAUACUUAUCCAGUGACUAAAACCAACUUAAACCAGUAAGUGGAGAAAUAACAUGUUCAAGAACUGUAAUGCUGGGUGGGAACAUGUAACUUGUAGACUGGAGAAGAUAGGCAUUUGAGUGGCUGAGAGGGCUUUUGGGUGGGAAUGCAAAAAUUCUCUGCUAAGACUUUUUCAGGUGAACAUAACAGACUUGGCCAAGCUAGCAUCUUAGCGGAAGCUGAUCUCCAAUGCUCUUCAGUAGGGUCAUGAAGGUUUUGCUUUUUGGCCUUUUUCUAGCUUAAAAAAAAAAAAAGCAAAAGAUGCUGGUGGUUGGCACUCCUGGUUUCCAGGACGGGGUUCAAAUCCCUGCGGCGUCUUUGCUUUGACUACUAAUCUGUCUUCAGGACUCUUUCUGUAUUUCUCCUUUUCUCUGCAGGUGCUAGUUCUUGGAGUUUUGGGGAGGUGGGAGGUAACAGCACAAUAUCUUUGAACUAUAUACAUCCUUGAUGUAUAAUUUGUCAGGAGCUUGACUUGAUUGUAUAUUCAUAUUUACACGAGAACCUAAUAUAACUGCCUUGUCUUUUUCAGGUAAUAGCCUGCAGCUGGUGUUUUGAGAAGCCCUACUGCUGAAAACUUAACAAUUUUGUGUAAUAAAAAUGGAGAAGCUCUAAAUUGUUGUGGUUCUUUUGUGAAUAAAAAAAUCUUGAUUGGGGA
rnacentral:lncRNA from 1 species